rnacentral:rRNA from 1 species
UACGUAGGGUGCAAGCGUUAUCCGGAAUCACUGGGCGUAAAGCGUGUGUAGGCGGAUCUUUAAGUGCGUGUGUUAAAUCGUGUGGCUCAACCAUAUCGAUGCAUCGCAUACUGGGGAUCUGGAGGACGGCAGAGGCAAGUGGAAUUGGCAGUGUAGCAGUGAAAUGCGUAGAUAUUGCCAGGAACACCAAUGGCGAAGGCAGCUUGCUGGGCCGUUUCUGACGCUGAGACACGAAAGCGUGGGGAGCGAACAGG